UGCAUGCAACUACGAGCCAGGCAAUGCCUAAUGCCCAGCCUGUUCUACUGAGGGCCAAAUAAAGAACGGAUAAACCUAAGGAUAUGUUCUUUUUCGUGACUCCGAGGAGAAUCGAACAAUUACAUAAAAUUGCCAAGGACCAACCGACGAUUAAGCUUUUCUGAAACAUAAAUUUAAUCACAUUAUUGAAAGAUGCAGAGAAAUAUAAGUCUAACGAACAAAUAGUAUACAUUACUUUUGAUAAAUGCAAUUUGUAAUUCCAUUUUGUAAGAAGGUGACAUGUGGCCAUUCCUAUGAGAUAUGGCGGUAUUCUACACCACGGUCGUAUAUAAAAGUAUGUCAGCGUCUUAUAUUGUUCGUCCAAUCUAGAAAAGUAAAUAUAAGUAUAUUUACAAAUUUCUUAUGUUAUAAAGAAUGUUAAACA
rnacentral:misc_RNA from 1 species